rnacentral:snoRNA from 1 species
UAUCCAUGGUGGGGACACAGAUUUAACAGAACUUUAAAACGCUCCCAAGCUUGAUAGAGAGUUUCGUUUUCCUUCU